GAUGAACGCUGGCGGCGUGCCUAAUACAUGCAAGUCGAGCGAACAGACGAGGAGCUUGCUUCUAUGAAGUUAGCGGCGGACGGGUGAGUAACAGGUGGAUAACCUAUCGAUAAGACUGGGAUAAGGUAGGGAAACCGAAGCUAAUACAGGAUAAUAUAGUGAACCGCAUGGUUCAAUAGUGAAAGACGGUUUUGCUGUCACUUAUAGAUGGAUCCGCGUCGCAUUAGCUAGUUGGUAAGGUAACGGCUUACCAAGGCAACGAUGCGUAGCCGACCUGAGAGGAUGAUCGGCCACACUGGAACUGAGACACGGUCCAGACUCCUACGGGAGGCAGCAGUAGGGAAUCUUCCGCAAUGGGCGAAAGCCUGACGGAGCAACGCCGCGUGAGUGAUGAAGGUCUUCGGAUCGUAAAACUCUGUUAUUUGGGAAGAACAAAUGUGUAAGUAUCUAUUCACGUCUUGACGGUACCUAAUCAGAAAGCCACGGCUAACUACGUG
rnacentral:rRNA from 1 species